GGGGAUGUAGCUCAGUGGUACAGCGCAUGCUUUGCAUGUAUGAGGCCCCGGGUUCAAUUCCUGGCAUCUCCA